rnacentral:rRNA from 1 species
AUUGAACGCUGGCGGCAUGCCUUACACAUGCAAGUCGAACGGCAGCGCGGGAGUAGUCCUGGCGGCGAGUGGCGAACGGGUGAGUAAUACAUCGGAACGUGCCCAGUAGUGGGGGAUAGCGCAGCGAAAGCCGUACUAAUACCGCAUACGACCUACGGAUGAAAGCAGGGGACCGCAAGACCUUGCGCGAUUGGAGCGGCCGAUGGCGGAUUAGCUAGUUGGUGGGGUAAAGGCUCACCAAGCCGACGAUCCGUAGCUGGUCUGAGAGGACGACCAGCCACACUGGGACUGAGACACGGCCCAGACUCCUACGGGAGGCAGCAGUGGGGAAUUUUGGACAAUGGGCGCAAGCCUGAUCCAGCCAUGCCGCGUGCGGGAAGAAGGCCUUCGGGUUGUAAACCGCUUUUGUUCGGAAAGAAACGCUCUUGGCUAAUACCCCGGGGUAAUGACGGUACCGUAAGAAUAAGCACCGGCUAACUACGUG